AGGUGUGUGUGCCUGUGUGUGUUAUAAGUUUAGGAAGUGGGUAUGGCAUAUAUCUUAAGAUACACACACACACACACACACACACACACACACA
rnacentral:miRNA from 1 species